GGGGGCGACUGACAAGCGACCCUACCUGUUACACCUGAAGGGAGAACUACUUGUUACACCUGAAGGGAGAACUUAGUAAUAGUAACUCACAGCUCUCGACAAGAGCAGAGGGAAGAACGGGUGUGUAUCUCUUGGAUGCAUGAUCAUGGUGAUAUCUAUGAAACACAUAUAGGCAUCGAGAGAGGAAGACGACAACCAGAAAAGACUACCAGGAAUUUCACUUUGACACAAAGCAGUGUCAAAUUCGCACCCUUUUUGUCCCUGCAUUAUCGAUCAUGGAUUAUGCCCCGGGUGUAGGCCGCUGUCUGCUAUCCUUUGUCCUUGCCAUCAUAUUAAGUGCCACCGGCAUCAUCCUCUUCCUCAUCGGCAUCUUUGUUCCCUUCAGCUUCUGGGACAUCUUCAUCUUCUCGGGCCCCCUCCUCGUCUUUCUCAGUCUGGUGUUCUGGAUCCUCUGGUAUCUGGGGAACAUUGAGGUGUCCGUUGAUGAGCUUCUCCCUAAGGGUGGCCCAAAUGGAAUUUAAAUGUAAAUAUAGGAACUUUUCAACUGACAGACAUACAAACAUUUGACAUACAGACAUUUGACAUUGUCAAGAAGGAAAAAAGACCUUUACAUCCGGGUGCCAUUUUUUGGAUAAUAUUUGGAGUGGCAGUUUAUCAUUGGAACCAUCCUUGAAAAAGAGCCUUGAGACUGUCUUGUAACUACCUGCAACAGGAGUGUUUAUCCUGUAAGCGUGUGUGGAGUUUCUGCAGUUCCUGUUGCGUAAGCUAGCUCCUUACCUACAUUCGCUACAAGUUGGAUUCAUAUUCCUCUCUCUGGAACAUUUGAUCACUUAAUGCUUGAAGGAUAAAUAAAAGAAUUCCUCAACUUCUGGAACCUUAAGUAUUAGAGUACACAACCAGAUAAUAUGUAAAAUUGUUGUUCAUAGCUGUAGAAAAAGUGUCACUUCUGUUUCAUGUAAUCAAUCCUCGCUAAAGACCUUACUCACUGACUAAUGGAUGCUUCAGUGCAGGGGCGUCGUUAGACCCUUUUUACUGAGGCACGUGCCCCAGUAUAAAUCUGCUGUGCCCCAGUAAAAUCUAAGGUUUGAGUUUUAACAAUUUACUUUAUUAGUCAGUGCAUUCAAUUAGAUUGAUAAUCCCGGAAAAAACAAGUCCAGUAUCCCAAUCAACCAUAAGCACUCGUAAGGAAGGGUAGAAGUUGGUUUGGGCUCAGUAUGUCAGUUUAAGCUAUUACAUGCCUAUCCUCUGGGUGUUGUCCUGAUGGAAAAUCUGAGUAUUUGUUUGCUCAAACACUCAUCAGAAACCAGCCACACUCGGAGUCCCACAUAUCUGCCCUCACUCGAGAUCAAGAGAUGAACUGUUUCCCCACCACCUUCACAAGGCCAUGGUGGUGUUCCUCCCAAAGAAAGAGGAACAAGUGUUCCAAGUGCAUUCAUGGCCAAGUUGUUGAGCUUGCCUUAUCGUGAUCAAGCCUUCAUGAAACUGCCCUUGCUUGUAGCCGAGAAUGUGACACAGCAGGUUUGUCAGCACAGACACACCCAAACACUGUGGGUUGAAAUUCAAGCCACUUCAUAAUAAUCCCUGCACUCAAACAAUAAAAGCCGGAUGAAUGUAUCUAGGCUAGUUCCAGCAACGUACUAAUAAAACAAUUGUGGAUAUCAGGUGUUCUGGUCACAACCGCCUUCCUCAAAUAGAAAUGGAGGGCUUGUCAGGUUGCUGCAUAGGCAACAUUUCUGUCAAUCUACUGCCUAGCAUAACUGUGCACUUCUGAUCCUUGAUUUAUGCUGUGCAACUUCCUAUAGGCAGAAUGAGUUUGUCACUUUGGAUGAAAAGAACGUGUUCAAUAAAUAAAAUGUUAAAUUAAGUUUAUUAAUCCCCAGUUGGGUAUAAUGUUUCUUUACUGUGUGUUUGUCCGGCCUGCUUUGCUUUACUAAUUCAACACCUCGCCAACCUCCUUAAGACACCUGCAUCACAUCGUCAGCUCACCAGAAAGGUGUCGAAAUCCCACUUCUCGUUCUCCGGUUUCUACACACCUUGGUUGUCUUUCCAGUAUGCGGUGCCAACCAGGUUUGCGGCCGGCGACAGAGACACAAUGGGCGAGCUGAACCCGACACCUCACGGCGUUCACCGUGGUGACACAUGGGGGCCAGGAUUAAGUUCUACCUGACACAGUAAACCUGUUUGGGCCCGACCCCAACAUCAACGGUUCUGCCAGAGGCGGACGCCCUAAUGACCGCAAGAGGGCCCAGGGGGAAUGGUGUUUACGGGAUCUAGACGGAACCUCUUUUCCUGCCAGAUUCCUGCCGCUAGCCGGAUAAAGGGGAGUGUGAUUGAGUGAAACUCUAGUUAAAAGGCUGUAACUGGGAGUUUAUUUGCAGUUGUUGUAGGCCAAAGUAUCACAGUGCUUUGGAUAAGAGCGUCUGCUAAAUGACUAAAUGUAAAAUGUAAUGCUUUAUCAUUACAGAACGAGGACUGUUUAACAGUGACUGGCGUUAAUUAUAUAUGUGAACUAUAUUACAUUAAAAUAUUUUUAUUGCG